rnacentral:rRNA from 1 species
GACGAACGCUGGCGGCGUGCCUAAUACAUGCAAGUCGAACGCAGUGGGGACGGGUGAGUAACACGUGGGUAACCUCCCAUCAGAGGGGAUAACACUUGGAAACAGGUGCUAAACCGAUACUGAUGGAUGGACCCGCGGUGCAUUAGCUAGUUGGUGAGGUAACGGCUCACCAAGGCCACGAUGCAUAGGCGGGCCGGGAGGGUGGACGGGCAAACUGGGAAUGGGGACACGGCCAGAAUGCUACGGGGAGGAACCGUAGGGGAUUGUUGGCAAAUGACGAAAAUCGGGCCGAGGAAAGGCGGCGGAGUGGAGGAGGGUUUCGGGUUGUAAAGGUCUGUUGAUAGGGGAGCGGUAACUAACCAGAAAGGGACGGCUAACUACGUGCCAGCAGCCGCGGUAAUAC